rnacentral:rRNA from 1 species
GUGAGGAAUAUUGGUCAAUGGACGAGAGUCUGAACCAGCCAAGUAGCGUGAAGGAAGACGGUUCUAUGAAUUGUAAACUUCUUUUGUGCAGGAAUAAAGUGGGUUACGUGUAACCUUUUGUAUGUACUGUACGAAUAAGGAUCGGCUAACUCCGUGCCAGCAGCCGCGGUAAUACGGAGGAUCCGAGCGUUAUCCGGAUUUAUUGGGUUUAAAGGGUGCGUAGGUGGAUUGAUAAGUCAGCGGUGAAAGUUUGCAGCUUAACUGUAAAAUUGCCGUUGAAACUGUCGGUCUUGAGUGCAAAUGAGGUAGGCGGAAUGUGUUGUGUAGCGGUGAAAUGCUUAGAUAUAACACAGAACUCCGAUUGCGAAGGCAGCUUACUGGGAUGCAACUGACACUGAUGCACGAAAGCGUGGGUAUCAAACAGGAUUAGAUACCCUUGUAGUCC